UCGCUGGUGGUCGAGUGGCAAGACUCUGUGCUCCCAAUGCAGGGGCCCUGGGUUCGAUCCCUGGUCAGGGAA
rfam:TPA: Bos taurus chromosome 7, whole genome shotgun sequence.